rnacentral:lncRNA from 10 species
GUUGUGGGUGAGAGAGGAAUUUCAGAGGAUAAGUGUCUAGUAAAACAAAACAUAGCUGUCUAGGCAGGGACGGAUUUACCAGGAACCAAUGAAGCACAAGCUUUGAGGCCUCUCACGACCUCCUACUGACCCCUUACUUCCAAGUCCUUGUAAGCGGCCUUAGGAAUGCCUGAGGGUCCAGAUAAUCAAAGCUUCGGAUCUCCUAAAACCUGGCUUUGCCUCUUACUUGAGAACUUUGCAAAGAAGAAUGCUAGCCAGUGAAUGUUCAGAGAGGAAGGAAGAAGAAGCUGUCCAAUGACCUUUUUUCUUAUGGCUUUCUAACUUGAUUCUUGACACUGUCACCAAGGUGGACAUUGAAGUGGACCUAAUUCGGUUUUCCUUUUAAAAGCCCCCACAAACAAAAGUAGUUUGAAACCUAUUUAAAAU